rnacentral:rRNA from 1 species
GACGUAGGGCGCGAGCGUUGUCCGGAUUUAUUGGGCGUAAAGAGCUCGUAGGCGGCUUGUCGCGUCGUUCGUGAAAACCCGGGGCUCAACUCCGGGCUUGCGGGCGAUACGGGCAGGCUAGAGUUCGGUAGGGGAGACUGGAAUUCCUGGUGUAGCGGUGAAAUGCGCAGAUAUCAGGAGGAACACCGGUAGCGGAAGGCGGGUCUCUGGGCCACUACUGACGCUGAGGAAGCGAAAGCUGGGGAGCGAACAGGAUUAGAACCGUCGAGUCAGUCCAAGACCAG